rnacentral:ribozyme from 1 species
ACUUCAUUGCCAACAUGAUCUAUAAUAUUGUUCUGAUGAUUGACCUUCACACACCGGUGUCAUUCGGUAUGCUUAUGUUUGCCGGAUUCCCGUUGGCCUGUCUGAAUGUCGUCUUCUUUGG